CAUUUAGAGGAAGUAAAAGUCGUAACAAGGUUUCCGUAGGUGAACCUGCGGAAGGAUCAUUAUCGUACAACCAGAGGCACCGGGGGCUGUCGCUGACCCUUCUGGGUCGUGCACGCCUUUAGUGUUCUCAAACAAUCCAUAUCCUACUCACCCUUUUGUGCAUCACCGCGUGGGCUCCUAAAAGGGGCUUGCGUUUUUCACACAGACCACUCCUUGGUAUAGAAUGCUUUCAUUUAUUGCGAUCAUACGCAAUCAAAUACAACUUUCAACAACGGAUCUCUUGGCUCUCGCAUCGAUGAAGAACGCAGCGAAAUGCGAUACGUAAUGUGAAUUGCAGAAUUCAGUGAAUCAUCGAAUCUUUGAACGCACCUUGCGCCCCUUGGCAUUCCGAGGGGCACACCCGUUUGAGUGUCGUGAAAUCCUCAACCUUCACCGUUUCUUUAACCGGUGAAGGCUUGGACUUUGGAGGGUUUUUGCUGGCCUCUCGUCUUGAAGCCAGCUCCUCUUAAACAAAUUAGCAGGGUUUCCUUUGCCGAUCCUCGACUGUGAUAAGCUGCUUCUACGUCCUUGGUUUCUGGCGACGCUCGCUUCUAAUGGUCUUCUCCUUGACCCCUUUUAGGGGCCUUGCACUCGGGAAACCCCCUUCUUUUGACCUCAAAUCGGGUGAGACUACCCGCUGAACUUAAGCAUAUCAAUAAGCGGAGGAAAAGAAACUAACGCGUCUU
rnacentral:sRNA from 1 species